rnacentral:rRNA from 1 species
CCUACGGGCGGCAGCAGUGAGGAAUAUUGGUCAAUGGACGAGAGUCUGAACCAGCCAAGUAGCGUGAAGGAUGACUGCCCUAUGGGUUGUAAACUUCUUUUAUAUGGGAAUAAAAUGUUCCACGUGUGGGAUUUUGUAUGUACCAUAUGAAUAAGGAUCGGCUAACUCCGUGCCAGCAGCCGCGGUAAUACGGAGGAUUCGAGCGUUAUCCGGAUUUAUUGGGUUUAAAGGGAGCGUAGGUGGAUUGUUAAGUCAGUUGUGAAAGUUUGCGGCUCAACCGUGGAACUGCAGUUGAUACUGGCAGACUAGAGAGCAGUAGAGGUAGGCGGAAUGAGUAGUGUAGCGGUGAAAUGCUUAGAUAUCACGCAGAACUCCGAUUGCGAAGGCAGCUCGCUAAUCUGCAUCUGACGCUGAGGCUCGAAAGUGUGGGUAGCGAACAGGAUUAGAUACCCCAGUAGUC